UACGAAGGGGGCUAGCGUUGCUCGGAAUCACUGGGCGUAAAGCGCACGUAGGCGGAUUGUUAAGUCAGGGGUGAAAUCCUGGAGCUCAACUCCAGAACUGCCUUUGAUACUGGCGAUCUUGAGCCCGGGAGAGGUGAGUGGAACUGCGAGUGUAGAGGUGAAAUUCGUAGAUAUUCGCAAGAACACCAGUGGCGAAGGCGGCUCACUGGCCCGGUACUCGACGCUGAGGUGCGAAAGCGAUGGGAGCAACGG
rnacentral:rRNA from 1 species